UACUUACUGAGCUUGCUAAAAGAAUCUUACGAAUUUCUCCUCUAUCUAGGCUCUUCCACGUUCUUGCUUUCAACAUAGUAAUAAUCAGAAUCCAAAACUGCCUGCAGAAUCAAGCAGAUUGGUGCUUGUUUUGCUCAAAAUAAUGUCUCGCGUUUAUGUUGGGAAUUUGGAUCCGCGCGUCUCCGAGAGGGAUCUCGAAGAUGAAUUCCGGAUGUAUGGUGUUCUUCGUAGUGUCUGGGUUGCUCGAAGGCCACCAGGAUAUGCAUUUGUUGAGUUUGAUGAUCGCAGGGAUGCUAUAGAUGCAAUUCGCGCAUUGGAUGGAAAGAAUGGCUGGCGUGUGGAGCUUUCUCAUAAUUCUAAGGGUGGUGGAGGCCGUAGUGGUGAUGGACAUGGACGUGGUGGAGGUGAGGACUCAAAAUGUUAUGAGUGUGGUGAACCUGGUCAUUUUGCACGAGAAUGUCGCCUGCGCAUUGGCUCACGAGGCUUGGGAAGUAGUCGUCGUCGAAGCCCCAGUCCUCGCCGCCGUGGAAGUCCAAGUUAUGGGUAUGGGCGCAGGAGUUAUAGCCCCCGUGAGAGAAGAUCUCCAAGACGCCGGAGCCUUUCACCUCGCCGAGGUCGCAGCUAUAGCAGGUCCCCUCCAUAUCGUCAUGGCCGCCGUGAUUCACCUUAUGCUAUUGGCGACUGAGGCUGGAAGCCAAACUGAGAACCAGCAGGAUAUUGAAGAAAAUAAUCUGUUAUACUUUAGUUCUAAUAGGACCAUUUGAGCAUAGAAGGUCAUGUUAAGUUAUGUUCGUCUCAUGACAAUGAGGUUUGUUAGAAACUUGGUUUCGGGUGGCUUCAUCGAAGUGUUUCAACUGCGAAACAGGUGCUUGGACACUGUUCUAUCUCGGCUUGCUGUCUACAACUUGCUGAAAUAUGUGUGGUUUUCGGCCAAAAUGGCAUCCUUUCGCCCCUUAACUGCAUCAUAGUGCACGGUUUUCUCCAUCUCUGCUUCUCUGCACGUUAUCUACACGUCAUUCUACAUGUUUUUCAGCCUCGAUCAUGUUGAAAUUGCAGUGUUCAGAAACUUGGUUGUCUGCGACACCUUUUAGUGCAUCCUUCUGCAACAAAGAUUGUGUUCCAUUUGCCACGUUUAAAAUUAUACCACGUUUGAAAUUUCUGCUAACUGGCAAGGGGAAGCUGUUUGUACUGUUGUCCCCAUCCUUGAUUCUCUGUGAUCUAUCAUUUCCCACUGUUGCUUCUUCGAGUAGUGUUGAAACUACAAUUUCUCUGGAAAACAUGGUCUCACACAACCUCUGCUGACAUGGUAUGCAGCAUUAAAGCAUCUGAUGUAGUUGGUUUCUGCAUUUUUCCCUUGUGGGUUCAAGUAAGUUGCUCUUUCGAUCCUAGAUUUCCAUGUAGAGGUGAAUGGCUUCAGGUUAUUGUUUGCAGUAAUUUCAAAGAUGCAUAAUAAUGUGACUUUGCACCACCCCCGGAAGUUGUUGUUCCUUUGCUGCGGUUAGAAAUGCAAACUUGAAUUCUUGUAGUUGCAGGAGUCCUCUUUGAAUCAGCAUCAGAACAUAGAAGUGUUUCAUCCUCGCCAAUGCUCUGAUUGUUGUCCACUUUGCGUAGCCAGGAGAAAUCUCUUUUUAUUUUUUUUGCAAGCAUGGUAGGAAUCCCCUAGAACCGUGCUUUUCUUUAAUUGACUGUUUGGAACCUUGGAAUUGAAUAAUUUUUAUGUUUGGAAUAUUUGUUUUUA